rnacentral:tRNA from 1 species
AAGGUUUUAAGUUAAUAAAACUAAUAGCCUUCAAAGCUUUAAAUAUAAAUUUAAAUUUUUUAAACCUUA